rnacentral:lncRNA from 1 species
AAAUCUCCAGAGCAGGGCUUAUAUUUAUGGACCACGUUAAAAACUGUGGCAGAAGGAAAUCCACAAGUUGGAAAGCCAUGCUGGCUGCAGCUCUGUGGGAAACAACAAGGCAGAAAAGCAAAAUUUGUCAAAUGGAUGAGAAAAAAUAUGAACUGAAGAGGAGCUGUUGCAAACCUGAUCUUCUGGCAGCUAGAAUAUCAUGCAGGAUUUGCCAGAGGAUGUAGUCUCAUCCCUUUGAAGGAUAGAAGAUCUCAAUAUCACCAGGAUGUGAUUUUUUUCCACAACAGAGGUGUUGGCCAUUUCUGGAAAGCUCUCACUAUGAGUCAGUCAUGUACUGCUUUUCCAUUUUCUCAGAAGAACUCUGUAAAUACACUUGAGGCAAUGGAAAGCCAUCUGGAGGCAGAGGUUGAAAGAUGGGUUAUGACUGCUUCGUUCAGUGAUGCAGACCUCUGAAAACAGGUUUUUCAGGUAACUUUUGGUGACACGUAUUGCUGAAGUUACGCCAGAAAACAAGCAAAGAACAACAACAACAACAAAAAGCCUGUUUACAAUAAAUUAUUCUUCUCAUAAAUGAGACUCCAAUUACUUUGAUUCAAAGGAAAUUUUCUAAACUAAUGUUUUUUUGUGUUUUUAUCAG